GGUGUGGCUUGCUGGAGGAAGUGUGUCACUGGGGGUGGGCUUUGAGGGUCCUCAGCUCAUCCUACUGGUUUGCUCUCUAUUUCCUGUUUGCCACUGGAGAU
rnacentral:miRNA from 1 species